rnacentral:rRNA from 1 species
UAAAGGAAGCGAUUCCGGCUACGGAUGGUCAUGCGUCGCAUUAGCUAGUUGGCGGGGUAACGGCCCACCAAGGCGACGAUGCGUAGGGGUUCUGAGAGGAAGGUCCCCCACACUGGUACUGAGACACGGACCAGACUCCUACGGGAGGCAGCAGUGAGGAAUAUUGGUCAAUGGCCGCAGGGCUGAACCAGCCAAGUCGCGUGAGGGAUGACGGUCCUAUGGAUUGUAAACCUCUUUUGUCAGGGAGCAAAGGGCGCCACGUGUGGCGCUUUGCGAGUACCUGAAGAAAAAGCAUCGGCUAACUCCGUGCCAGCAGCCGCGGUAAUACGGAGGAUGCGAGCGUUAUCCGGAUUUAUUGGGUUUAAAGGGUGCGCAGGCGGAAUGUCAAGUCAGCGGUAAAAUUUCGGGGCUCAACCCCGUCGUGCCGUUGAAACUGGCGUUCUUGAGUGAGCGAGAAGUAUGCGGAAUGCGUGGUGUAGCGGUGAAAUGCAUAGAUAUCACGCAGAACUCCGAUUGCGAAGGCAGCAUACCGGCGCUCAACUGACGCUCAUGCACGAAAGCGUGGGUAUCGAACAGGAUUAGAUACCCUGGCAGUCCACGCAGUAAACGAUGAAUACUAACUGUCCGGGCAGAAUGAUGCCUGG